GCCCGCCCCGCCGGCCGAGUGCGCUCGUCGCCCGCCGCGCUCCGGGCGCUCGAGGAGGACGGCGCGGGGGAGGCGCGCGGCUGGGGGGAGCGCACGGGGGCCCGUGCUCCGGGUUCCCUGGGAGGCGCACGGGCCGGCCGGGCGCGGCGGGCGCGCCACCUCCUGGGGCACCAGGGGCGCUUCCGCGCUCGGUCAGGAAGGAGGCUCAGAAAGCGGCCGGGCGGGACGCUGCCCCCGUGCGCCGCCCCGUCCCCUUCGCGGGUUCCCUCCUCCGCCAGCCGGGCGGACGCCCCUCGGGCCCGCGCGCUCCGCUCCUUUGUUCGGGGGCCGUUCCGCACAGCGGCCGGGGCGGCGGGCGUCGAGACGGCCAGGGUCCGGGCGGCGGGGCGCCUGGCGGGGACAAUGAGGCCGUGCGGCCGCGCGCGCGGAGGGCUUCCUCCGGGUCCUCGCGGUGCCGGGGGCGAGCCCGGGGCUGGAAGGCAGGGGCCUCCCGGGUGCUCCCCGCGUGGUCCGGGAAGAGCGAGCGAGCGCCGGAGCCUCGGCUUCCUUUCCUGGGGAGCCAUCCCCGCCCCGCCCGGCCCCUGGGUUCAGGGGCUCCACUGUGACAAUGGACGGGAGCGCGCUUGGUCGUCAGCGGACAGUUACGGGAGCGCCAGGCGCACGCCCGUCCCCGCCCCGCCCGCUCACCUGGAGCUGUCAGGGGAAGAGGUGCUGAUUACUUCCUUGGGGAGAUGAGGCUCGCCAGCCUUACAGCAGUUAUUUCCUCAGGAUGUUUACGUCAGCUCCCCGAGCCUGGGAUGGUGGAGGCAGAGCUGUGCCUGCAGGUGACUGCAGACGUUCAGUGAAUCACACGUCUUAGCCACAUGAAGGAUCAGCUACAGCUCUGAGCCGAGGAGUGCACAGGAAGCUGCCUGCCCUGAGGGGCCCAAGUGCCCUGCGGCUCAGGUCGCCCUCCACAGACCAGAAGGCCUCAGCAAACCUGCAGAGAUCAGCGUGGUCUUCUGAAGACAUCCGUGGAGUCGAAGGCCCUCCUGCGAGGCCAGGAGGGUGAUGAUUAUGGUGAAGAGAGAGGCCUCAAACUAUUUUGCACACAUCUUGCUUACUUUUGCAAAGUGAAUAGCUGGCAAAAGAAACUAAAAUCCUCAUGGGAACACCAGCGCACCCUGUGUCAACUCGUUGAACAUUCCCCGAGCACCUGCACGCUGUGUCACAGGCACAGCAGAACGUGCUGAUGACACAGAAGUGGACGAGGCAGAAGGCGCCUUCCCCUGGAACCCUGGUCACGUCCAAACCCGGCCACACAGCAGGCUGAGUGCCCAAAGAGGGUCCUGGGAACAUUUCCCAGUCGUGCUUCCCAAGAAUGAGGAGUGAGAAUUAACUGAGCCCAGUGCCUAGCGUGGAAUCAGCAUCGUGUCUAGUAGGAACUCGACAAACAGCCCUUGGCGAUGACCGGACAGCAGGUGAGAAUUUAGAGUUCUCGCCGCCUUGGGGUUCCGCCCUGGACCCCGGUCACAUGGGAGGAGCAACCUUGGACGUGACCCUGCCUCCACCCCUUCUGUCCCCCUCCAGCCUCAGUCCCACACCCAGGACACGUGUGUAGACGCCUCCGCUCCCUCCAGGCCCUGCUUCCUGCCCUCACAUCCUUGGACACGCUGGGCUAGGUGCACAACCCUCAUGUGGAAGACCCAGUGGACUAUCUGGAGAGGGGUCCACACAGACUCCAAGGGGGCAGCAAGGUCGGGACGCUCUGAAGCACGGGGCCCAGGGCAGGGACCUCUUGUCUGACACAUCACAUAACUUAAAAGAGAGCGAUUUGAGUAUAAAAUAAAAAUUGCAAUGAGUGCUGUUGUCUCCGUUUUACACAUGGGAAGGAUUACAAGUAAACCCUAUUCUGCUGGACGGGACCCUUGUAAGUAUCUUCCACUUGUAGCAUUUCUCACUCGCUCCAACCUUCGUUGCUCCUCCCUUUAUUCUCUCUCUCCCUCCUUUCCCUCCUCUCUUCCUUCCCUCCUUCCCUUCCUUCUUUGCACACAUAUUUAGCGUGCCUGUGUGCCAGGCACUGCCGGGCCCUGGGGUUCGAGGAUAAUCAAGACAAAUGUGCUCGGGGGCCUUGCAGUCUGACGAGCAGCCUGGCGUCGAUCGUACACAAAUAAACGUGUAAUUACAAACCGGGCCUAGCGCGCAGCAGAUAAGCACGCACUGAUUUGUGGGUUGCCUUUGAUUUAAGGUUUCCUGCUGAGUCGGGGAGGAAUGUAAAUCUGUUUUUCUCUUAAAGCCAGAGGCCUCAUAUUUCCAGGAACCUCCGAAAUGGAUGCAUUUGGUACAGCUCACCAGCUCUGGGUGCGCUCCCUGCGAGCACGUGAGCUAAUUUCAUUGAAUCAGCUCUACUGCUUUAUUGCUGUAGAGAAACGUGGCCAAAAAUUUCAGAGGCGCAAAUUCCGGCAGUUUACAAGGCCAACUGUCCGCUUGUAGAAGGCGCGGGUUUUACGAGAGACCCCGACGCCUGAGUCUCCUGGAAACGCAGAGGGUGGGGUGGGAGACCCACUUUCCCGUGAAUGUCCACUUGUGACACAGCAAAGGCGAGAGUUGCGAGUCACCCGGUGUCCCAUGACUUUUCUCCGCGCGCCCCGCUCGAGACGAUUCCUAGCGAAGGCCCCUCAAGGUGUGGGGACGGUGACCGCUUUGGAACCAGCAGGCCCUCAGUGAGCAGGAGGCAGAGGGUGGGCCCGCUCCUCACAGCCACAGCGGCGAGAGGAGACUUUCCCACGACUGUCGCUCUUGUCCACGCGGAUGCGGCAGAGCACGUGGCCACCCCGUAGCUCUGUCCUGAAGGGGAGAAUCCUCCAAGGGAAACCCACUAGAGCCUUACCCGUGGCGAUCUGAAUUUCUGACUGCCCGUUGAUCUUACGUCUUCUCCCUAACGGUUUUCAGUUUCCAGUAAGGAGUAAAUAAAUCCCCAGGAAAUUCACCUUGGAAAAGGAACGAUGAUGUCUUCUCCUCCCCUGUCCCAGACCGAACAUUCAGCUUUUUAACAUUUUUAUCCCCCGCAGAGGAAAGCCUCAUUUCAAAGACUUUUUUAGCACAUGCGCAUUCACACAUGCGCGUGCGCACGCACAUGCACACGCGCACACACAUUUUCCGGCUCCUUCCUGCUUCAGGUUCUGUGCAGCUGCUCCAGGCCCAGCCACCUGCCCGUGGGAACUGGCGCCCCUGGGGUGGGUGCCAGCCCUUCGCUGGAGCGUCCUCUGCUGCCAUACCGGCUCCAAGGCUACACAGACCCCCGGCCCCGUGACCAAGCGCCCCACCUCCCCUGAGGGCUGUGUGUCCGGUUUGUCCUCUCCAUCCUGCCCUGCGGGACCCGCCUGGGAUGCAUGUCCCCUGAGUUACAUACAGACUUUGAGGCGAGCAUACGUUGUUUGGGGGUUUUGGGGUUUUUGUGGGAUUUGGAAAAAACAUCCAACGCUAGAAUCAGAACUGAGAAAAGAAUGAAGAAGGCAGCCCAUCUUGUCUCCAGAGCAUCUUUGAUCCCAGGAGCCUGCAACUUUCCAUCAGCCUCUCAAAUGCCCCGAGCGAGUGAGUCCUAGGGAGCCUCCACACAAAUGCCACCUCCCCGGUGAAGCCUCCAGACUGACCCCAGAAUUGAAAACGGUCCUCUCCUGUCAUCCCCCGGUGAGCGCGGGGGCCCCU
ensembl:lncRNA